AUUGAACGCUGGCGGCAGGCCUAACACAUGCAAGUCGAGCGGAGCGGCGGACGGGUGAGUAAUGCCUAGGAAUCUGCCUGGUAGUGGGGGAUAACGUCCGGAAACGGGCGCUAAUACCGCAUACUAUCAGAUGAGCCUAGGUGGGAUUAUCAAGUUGGUGGGGUAACGGCCUACCAAGGCGACAAGCCGUAGCUGGUCUGAGAGGAUGAUAAGUCAUACUGGAACUGAGACACGGGCCAGACUCCUACGGGAGGCAGCAGUGGGGAAUAUUGCACAAUGGGCGCAAGCCUGAUACAGCCAUGCCGCGUGUAUGAAGAAGGCCUUCGGGUUGUAAAGUACUUUCAGCGGGGAGGCGUUACCCGCAGAAGAAGCACCGGCUAACUCCGUGCCAGCCGCCGCGGUAAUAC
rnacentral:rRNA from 1 species